CCUACGGGGGGCAGCAGUGAGGAAUAUUGGUCAAUGGGCGAUAGCCUGAACCAGCCAAGUCGCGUGAGGGAAGACGGCCCUAUGGGUUGUAAACCUCUUUUGUCGGGGAGCAAGGUCGCUACGUGUAGUGAUUUGAGAGUACCCGAAGAAAAAGCAUCGGCUAACUCCGUGCCAGCAGCCGCGGUAAUACGGAGGAUGCGAGCGUUAAUCGGAAUUACUGGGCGUAAAGCGCUCGUAGGCGGUAUGUCAAGUCAAGGGUGAAAUCCCCGCGCUCAACGUGGGAACUGCCUUUGAAACUGGCAAAC
rnacentral:rRNA from 1 species